AUGGAGACCAAAGUCAUGGUUGCUAGGCUGAAGAGAGCGGCGUGUUUAGAGCAGGAGGUUUUUGUACAGCCAGUAAACGAGUUUGUAUCACUGUGGUGGACUUUUGGUGGAGGAACCAAACUGUCAGUUGGACGUUUGGCCCGGCCCACCCUCACAGUCCUGCCCCCCUCCAGCGUGGAGCUGCAGCAGGGGAAGGCAACACUGGUGUGUUUGGCCAAUAAGGGCUUCCCCUCAGACUGGACGCUGAGCUGGAAGGUGGACGGGAGCAGCUGGAGCACGGGGGUUAGCCAGAGCCCCGGGCUUCUGCAGAAGGACGACGGCCUCUACAGCUGGAGCAGCACCCUGACCCUCCAGGGGGACCAGUGGCUAAAGAAGACAGUGACCUGUGAGGCCACCAAGGACUCCCAGCCUACUGUCAGCAAAUCACUGAGCAGAGAGCAAUGCACUGGGCAGUGAGCGUCCACGCGUGUGUUGGAGCUGCUAGAGCUCCUCUUGAUCUUCAGUGAGCUCAAACAUGGCUCUGCUUAAUGCUCUGAUCUUCAUCUCAUCACUUCAUCAUCACAAUAAAGAGCUUCAGUAUAAAUAUCUUCAGUCUUUCAUUGUUUAUUGUGUUAGUUUCUUUUUCCUGAUCUGUAAUUUACUGGAAACAAUUCUGUUCAUUCCUCUUGUAAAAAUAAAGCUUUUGGAUCAGAA